rnacentral:snRNA from 1 species
GGGUGUGAGGGUGAUCCAGGCCUGUGGCCUCUUUCAUCCCAAUGAUGGUUGAUUCCUGUGAUCUUGUGGUGUCCCUUCCUCACUCACUGCUCCCGUGUAUCCUCCCAAAGCUGCACCUUGAGUCAGGGAGGAUGACUGCCUGGCAGAAGAGGACUCUCUUCAGUCAGGGGUGUGUGAGCGCUUGUGCUCCUCAGCUAGAACGUCCAAGCAUGCUCUCCUGAUCCUACUGCCGCCUCCUCUCCAGCAUUUCCUACAGUGUGCACCACCGGGACGGCCCCAAACAGGCUUUCGGGGAUUAAAAGAUAAUGAACUGUGAAUGCCC